GAUCGGUUCUCUACAGCACAUGUGUCCAACUCAAAGCCCGCGGACCAAAUCCGGCCCCUCGCUGAUUUGGAUCU